CGACACAGGUUCGUACGUCGCGAAUUCUUAGGUGGAGAGUUAAUAGGGGUAAGGGAAAUCUGCAAGUUGUGAUCUUAGCAUAGUAGCGCUGAAGAACCGGGAGAAAAGGUGCUACUUCAAAAAGGGGGUUAAAGGGACCCGGCGAAUGGGAGGCCCUGACAAUAAAACUGGUAUCCGGACAUUUGUAAGGCCUAAUUUGGGGGUUGAGGCGUGGAAUUUGCCCGAGGUCAUUGAAGUUGGUGACAUAGGGGCAGGGGAGCCGGCGACCGAAGCCCCGGUUCACGGCGGCUGUAAUCAUAACGGUCCUAAGGUAGCGAAAUUCCUUGUCCGGUAAAUCCGACCCGCACGAAAGAAGUAACGAUGGUGGCACUGUCUCGGACAGAGGCUCGGUGAAAUAGACAUCGCUGGCAGAUGAGAUGCGUGCUGCGCAUGCGUUCC
rnacentral:rRNA from 1 species